AUCCUACGGGAGGCAGCAGUGGGGAAUAGUUGCACAAUGGGCGCAAGCCUGAUGCAGCCAUGCCGCGUGUAUGAAGAAGGCCUUCGGGUUGUAAAGUACUUUCAGCAGUGAGGUAAGGUGGAGUAUGUUAAUAGCAUAUUCAUUUGACGUUAGCUGCAGAAGAAGCACCGGCUAACUCCGUGCCAGCAGCCGCGGUAAUACGGAGGGUGCGAGCGUUAAUCGGAAUUACUGGGCGUAAAGCGCAUGCAGGUGGUUUGUUAAGUCAGAUGUGAAAGACCCGGGGCCGUCAACCUCGGAAUUGCAUUUUGAAACUGGCAAACUAGAGUACUGUAGAGGGGGUAGGAAUUUCAGGUGUAGCGGUGAAAUAGCGUAGAGAUCUGAAGGAAUACCGGUGGCGAAGGCGGCCCCCUGGACAGAUACUGACACUCAGAUGCGAAAGCGUGGGGAGCAAACAGGAUUAGAUACCCUGGUAG
rnacentral:rRNA from 1 species